AAGUAUAAGUUGAUUCUUCCCAUCUGUUUCUGGUUUCAUUGAAAGAAAAAUGAUUAUCAAUGAUAACCGAUGAAGAUGAUGAUGACACUCAGGCAUGAAAUUAUCUUCUCUUGCAGGAAGGCUGGCUUACCCAGCUAAUUAACUGUGUGGUGUCACGGGCGCACGGCUUGUCUUUUGAGAGGGGCGAAGCUGCCUGCUGCCGAAACAGCAACGGAAACCUUCUGCCACCUGGGAGCAGAGCACACACCUGCUGCUCCCACCUGCCCUUCUGAUGGGAAGACAAAGGCUGCCUUGCACUUCUGAUCUGAAAAGUUCUAUGAGAGGAAUAACCUCAUGAUGUCUUCCCCUGGGCAGGAAGUCAAGGAGAUUACGGGCUGCCCUAGAAAUGACUGCGCAAAGAAAGAUGCUCACACACAUGCCUCAGCCACUUCAUAAGUAAGUUGGAAAGUCUGUGAGAAGGAAAAUGAUGCUGUUGAUACUCCAUGUGAGCAUUCUGAGUUGGACACACUCCUCACGCAAUCCAGGGUCGCAUCCUCACAAAGCAAUGCACAAUGUACCAGAAAGCAAUAUGCAAACAAGAGCAUACUCAGACCCUGACUGCGGCAGUUAGAGCUGUAAACACAGAGGAUACCAAAGGCAAUUUCUCUUUAGUGGCUGUACCUGCCACCCUUCUCUCCCUUUCUCUGGGGACAGCAGGCCUUCUCUCAGUUUGUGGUAUUGCUGCUUGCAGUGACUGAGCU